GGUAUCCUGACCGUGCUAAGGUAGCAUAAUAAUUUGCCUCCUAAUUAGAGGCUGGUAUGAAUGAAUUUACGAAAGUAUGACUGUCUCCUGCUAAAAUAUAUAAACUAAACUUUAAGUGAAGAUGCUUAAAUGAAUCUAAAGGACAAAAAGACCCUGUUGAGCUUUACCUACAAUAAAUGUAAAAAUUUACUAAGGUUUAGUUGGGGCGACUAAGGAAGAAAUAAAUCUUCCUCAACAAACAGACAAACGUGUCGCAUAAGUGAUCUGCAAUAGCAAUCAAAAGAUAAGCUACCACAGGGAUAACAGACCAAUUCUUCUUAAGAGUUCAAAUUGACAGGAGAGCUUGGCACCUCGAUGUUGGGCUUAGGACAAGAUAUUGUAUUUUGCU
rnacentral:rRNA from 1 species